AGCGCGCGGUCGCCAGCCAGCCCGCUGCGCCGAGGUGGCUGUGGCUGGGAGGAGGUCCCCUAUCGCCCAGACUCGGUUUGCGUCCUUCCUUCAACCUUGGCUGCGGGCCCCUGCCACUCGCAAUAACACCACCACAUCCUCUGCACCGAAACUUCCCGCCAAGCAACACCCAGCCAAUUAACCCCAUCCUCUCCUCCAACACAGAAUUCCACCCACGAACCUAUUCCCUCUCCCCGCGCUUCAGACACCUCUCUCAUCGGAAAACCGCGUGAAGGGAAGCAGGCACUCAGCAGAGGACCCUGGCUGAAUUAGUAAGUUUUUGUUUGUUUUUUUCCCUCAGUCUACUUUUCUCUCCAGAAACCAGUUCCCACGGAAUAGAAGGUGCUGUGUUGAUGCUGAUAAAACCCCUGUCGAUGAAUUCACUUUGCCCCCGCCUCUUACCAGCUUCCCAGGUCGGGAACUGUCUCCAGUUAUUGGGGGAUUCAAUCCUGCCAAUUGGGUUAUAAAAAAAAAAAAAAUCCAAACCCGGGAGGCUGGCAGGGAAUGCAGGGUGCAGGGCCACUUCCUUUUGGGCUCUGCGAGGUCGCCGAGGAAGGGGAGAAAGAAAACCUCAGUGUUCCUGCCCCGUGCCAGGGCGCUGUGCCACAGAAGGAAAGCAGGCAUUCACUGCCACGAUGGCGGUUCCCAGAAGCUCCUGCCCCUCUGACAGCUGUCGCCUGGGCAGCCCGGGGAGA